UACGUAGGGUCCGAGCGUUGUCCGGAAUUAUUGGGCGUAAAGGGCUCGUAGGCGGUCCGUCACGUCGGGAGUGAAAACUCAGGGCUCAACCCUGAGCGUGCUUCCGAUACGGGCGGACUAGAGGUAUGCAGGGGAGAACGGAAUUCCUGAUGUAGCGGUGGAAUGCGCAGAUAUCAGGAGGAACACCGGUGGCGAAGGCGGCUCGCUGGGCCGUUGCUGACGCUGAUGCGCGAAAGCGUGGGGAGCAAACAGG
rnacentral:rRNA from 1 species